GCUCUAUGUCAAUGUAUGUGGAAGUAGUAAGAGUUUAAAAAUGAGUAAGUUGAAUGAGGAUUUGAAGGGUCUCCCCAUUGAAAUACAUUAUAAAUUUUUGUUGAAUAAAGUUGAAUAAAAUUAAAAAUAUAAAUGUUAAAAAUAUGAAAAAUAGAAGCAGUGUUGUCCAAAAGAAUAGGAAUCUAACGAUGUUUGAAUGGUUUUUCUAAGUUGAACGGUUUUGAAGGAGUAGGCUUUGAAAAAACGUACGGAAAAAUAAAAUAUAAUAAUAAUAAUAACUAGAAAGUGCAUUUUCUGAAGAAACUGCAGUGUGAAUGCUUGAAUCUGAAUGUAUGCACUGAAAUGAAUUAAUUGCUGAAUUUUGAGUUAAAAAUAUUGAAUGAAAUUAAAAAAAAACAAAAAAAAAGAAAACGAAUUUAACCUGAAAACAAAGGUGCUGAACUGCUAAAAGCUGAAGGUUACACAGAAGAAGAAGUUGGAAAAAAGCUGAAAAUGUUUUAAAUGUAAAUUAGAAAACCCUAAGAAAUGAGAAAAGAACAUUUAGAGUCAGAAAACAUCUGAAUGAAUAUUAAAAGGUCAUAUUCUUUGAAUCACUGAAUGACUCAAAUGUGAUCCCUCCACUUUGAUCCACACAGUUUAAAAAGUUUAAAUGCCUGAGCUUUGAAAGAUACGGUGUUGGAAAGAGAACAAUAAUGGCGACAAUUUGAGGGUAAAAUGAUGGCUGUAACACUGUGGAAACAGCAGCAGUUGAAAGAGAAGUGCUUAAGAUGAAUCUUGGCAGAGUGAGAGAGAGAGCUCGUUAAGCAGGCAGGUGUGAGCCUGGUUGCUAUAGUGACCGCACCCAAUGGCUCCAUACACACGUACACAGACAUGCACCUCACUUUUGCUGCUUAAAAUGAACAGAAAAGUCAGGCCGAAACAAAUCGUUCCCAAAUGAAAAGUAAAAGUCGUAUUGACAAAAUUCUUUCACCGUGAGUGACAGCAGCUUCUAGUCUACUGAAUUCUCAGUUUUCAUGCCUGUGGAGUUUAUUAUAUGGACGUGGUGACAGUGGAAAGACACCAUGCUCUUCUGAUUUUCAAACGAACCUUCUGAGACAUUUUAACAUUGGAGUCUAUGGAAGAGUUGGAGGGAGGAGGCUGUGCAUUGGUGACAUUUAUGAAAGAACCAUA
ensembl:lncRNA